GGACUACAGGGGUUUCUAAUCCUGUUUGAUCCCCACGCUUUCGUGUCUCAGCGUCAGUACAUGGCCAGUGAGCCGCCUUCGCCACCGGUAUUCCUCCAGAUAUCUACGUAUUUCACCACUACACCUGGAAUUCUACUCACCUCUCCAGUACUCAAGCUAAGCAGUAUCAGAAGCACUUCCCGGGUUGAGCCCGGGGCUUUCACAACUGACUUGCAAAGCCGCCUACACACGCUUUACGCCCAAUGAUUCCGAACAACGCUAGGAUCCCUCGUCUUACCGCGGCUGCUGGCAC
rnacentral:rRNA from 1 species